GCACUAUGUAAUAUAACACUAAACACAAUUUCUGCCUUUGAGGAGAGCAAGACAUCUUUCACAACUGACCUAUGGAGCCAACGCACAGUGAACAAGCUGAAACUAUCAGGACACCUCAUAAAAGCAAGCAAAGGCAAACUCAAUUCAACUAACUUUGUGUAUGAACAGUGUGUGAAGAUGUGAUUUUAACCCUACCUUCACCCAUGACUUUUAACUGUGUCUUCACACAGCCAAAAGGAAUUUUAGACUAGA
rnacentral:lncRNA from 1 species